GCCCAUGAUUUUAAGCACCACUGGCUGUUCACAGGCUCACACAGAAACUGUCUCCAAGCACAAUGCCCCUGGGAGAACUUCUUGGAAGUGCUGAUGCUGCCCUGUGUGAGACCAGCUAGGUCAACAUUUGCCUGGAAAAAGCUCUGGUUGUUUACAGCAGGCAUCUGGGCUGAUGAGUCAGGGCCUGUGGUUAGACAUUUUGAUUCUCACCCCUGAGACCAGCCCUUGGAAGCUCACACAGGAGCCGAGGCAGGGAACCUGGAGAGAAGAGGACAAACAGAGACUUCCCUCUGCUAAAUGAGAGUGAAUCCGCUGGCAAAGGUCUGACUCUGCGGAUUCCCUCCCACUCCACUCUGGGCGAUGGUCACUGUUGUUCUUGCCUCUCCUCUGAGUUCCGGUCUCAUUUAUCCAACAGACAUCUUGACAUCUCCACCUGGAUGUUUUGAAGGCAACUCAAGCCAGUGUGCCUGGGUCUGAACUCCUGACCUUCCUUCCCAAACCUGCUCCUCCUGCUGUGUUUGCCUUUGGAGUGACUGCCACUUCUAUCCAUUAUAAGUCAGAAAUCACCUCCUCCUCAAUCUCCUUCCCUGGCUUAAUCCAUUUCAAAUUCCUUGUGAUUGUCCUUCCUAAAUACCUGCCAAGGGCGGCCACCCCUCCAGUCACCUCUGACAACUGCAGUGGUACCCGACCCAGCUCCCUGUGCAGACCAGGGCACCGCCCACAUCCACGUUUCACGACAGGAGCCAGAGUGAGCUUUUCCAACUGCAGAUCUGAUUGAUUUCAUUCUAGUUUCACUGUCAGCAAUCAAUGCCAUAUGAAAAUAUUUCACAGAAAAAUCCAACCCCUCCCAUUAUAAAUUGCCAUGCAGGCUUCUUCUGGGUUGAUUUCUCAUCUAGUUAUAAGGGCCAAGCUGUCUUCUGGGUCUCUUUGGACUGAGUCUCUCAGGUUUGGGGUCUGACCUUGAGGGUGGGUGGGACAGAUGUCACUGAUGGUUGAUGCCUUAGUUUGGGUUGUCCCAGGUGCAGAUUCCGAGACAAGAAUUUGAGAGCAAGUAGUUUAUUUGAGAGGUGACCUCAGGAAGCUCUGGCAGGGCUUUAGGAAGCGCAACAGGAAAGGGAGGAGGCCAAUUCAGGGCGUAGUAUUCAGCCAGCUGGUGCAGAGGACAGCUGGAGUUCAGUCCCAUGGAGAAAUCACACACAAUAGAGGAAUCCCAGGAGCGAGGGACAGGCGGUAUUUAUACACCAACUCCUAUGAGUUAUUACUUGGGGGUUGUUGGAGGUGAGUGUUAAUCCCCUGGCACCUCCCACCUGCCACAGGUGUGGGUAGAGUGGACUGCUGAGGUCAUGGACAAAAGCCUGCAGGCAAAAAGAAGAAGAUAUUGGCAGUUAGAAGUGGCUCUGAGCCUGCUGGAGGGUUCCAGGGCUAUGUGGAGGGCACGAACAGCAUCUGCUCCCCUGGGGAUGAUGACAGGUGACACUGGGUGACUCAGAUCUUCUUGCCAUAACAUGGAGACACAUGGUUAGAAAGCCAGUCCAUUGUCUCAAGGAGAAGAGUCCCAGUUUGGUGCUAAUAAUCUUAACACCUUUCCAACACUGUUCAUCUCCAUCUGGAACCAAGAAAGAGCCAGCCUUGGGCCUAGUGUCUUUGGUAGGCCGUCGUAUGUACCUACCUGCAAUUGAUGAUGUUGCUUUGGUUUCUACUUAAUGUUUUCCAAUAAACUUAAGCAUAUAAAGUUUGCUGUUGAAAUAAAUUUAUAUAGUUAAA
rnacentral:lncRNA from 1 species